CACGCCGUAAACGAUGAAUACUAGGUGUAGGGGGUAUCGACCCCUCCUGUGCCGCAGUUAACACACUAAGUAUUCCACCUGGGGAGUACGGCCGCAAGGUUAAAACUCAAAGGAAUUGACGGGGGCCCGCACAAGCAGUGGAGUAUGUGGUUUAAUUCGACGCAACGCGAAGAACCUUACCAGGGCUUGACAUCCUUCGCAAUCUGCAGAGAUGCAGAGUUCCCUUCGGGGACGAAGAGACAGGUGG
rnacentral:rRNA from 1 species